rnacentral:piRNA from 1 species
UAGCCUGAGGAAGUUUGGGAAAACACCUAGGA